GGGGGGGGGGGGGGGCGGGCGGAACAGGGGCAGGUCGGGCGGGAGGGGCCAGGGGGGCUUGGGUACUCGAGGGGCGAACGGGGGAGUAGCACGUUGGGGGUCUGCCCUGCACUGCGGGAUAAUCCUGGGGGACUGGGGCUAAUACCGGAUAGGACCACGUGUUGGCUGGUGUGGUGGACAGAUUUUCGGUGUUGGGUGAGCUCGCGGCCUAGCAGCCUGUUGGUGGGGUAAUGGCCUACCAAGGCGUCGACGGGUAGCCGGCCUGAGACAGGGUACGGCCACAUUGGGACUGAGAUACGGCCCAGACUCCUACGGGAGGCAGCAGUGGGGAAUAUUGCACAAUGGGAGCAAGCCUGAUGCAGCGACGCCGCGUGGGGGAUGACGGCCUUCGGGUUGUAAACGCCUUUCGCUAGGGACGAAGCGUUAUGUGACGGUACCUGGAGAAGAAGCACCGGCUAACUACGUG
rnacentral:rRNA from 1 species